UACGUAGGGUGCGAGCGUUGUCCGGAAUUAUUGGGCGUAAAGAGCUCGUAGGCGGCCUGUCGCGUCGAUCGUGAAAACUUGGGGCUUAACCCUGAGCUUGCGGUCGAUACGGGCAUGACUUGAGUUCGGCAGGGGAGACUGGAAUUCCUGGUGUAGCGGUGAAAUGCGCAGAUAUCAGGAGGAACACCGGUGGCGAAGGCGGGUCUCUGGGCCGAUACUGACGCUGAGGAGCGAAAGCGUGGGGAGCGAACAGG
rnacentral:rRNA from 1 species